rnacentral:lncRNA from 12 species
AUUUCAUAUACAAAAUCCAGGUAAUUUUAUUGGUGAAUUACUGGUAUUGCCCAUAUGAAAUUAUUUUAACAAAACUGAUUAAAUAGAAAUAUAUGGAAGAUGCUCUUCAAAGGCUGGUGUUGACACCACCACCCCCCACACAAUUUUAUUUGAAAUAAUGACAUGGUUUUAUACUGUUUUAUUUUAAAUGCAGGUGAACCAAGGAAAUUUGACCCAAAGUUCACAGGACCUGUUCAUAGCAGACGCUGCACAGAUGUUAUUUGCUGUGUGAUCUUCAUAGUUGUCAUUCUGGGUUACAUUGCAUUGGGAGUUGUGGGUAAGUAAAUAGAGGUAUAGUAAUGCCUUUUCGUAUAGAGGGAGGCAGCUUUGCGAAUAUUAGAAUU